rnacentral:rRNA from 1 species
UACGAAGGGGGCGAGCGUUGUUCGGAAUUACUGGGCGUAAGGGGCGCGUAGGCGGCGACUCUAGUCAGAUGUGAAAGUCCUGGGCUUAACCUGGGGACUGCAUUUGAUACUGGGUUGCUUGAAUUCGGGAGAGGAUAGCGGAAUUCCCAGUGUAGAGGUGAAAUUCGUAGAUAUUGGGAAGAACACCGGUGGCGAAGGCGGCUAUCUGGACCGACAUUGACGCUGAGGCGCGAAAGCGUGGGGAGCAAACAGG